rnacentral:rRNA from 1 species
UUCCUACGGGAGGCAGCAGUGGGGAAUAUUGCACAAUGGGGGAAACCCUGAUGCAGCAACGCCGCGUGAGUGAAGAAGUAUUUCGGUAUGUAAAGCUCUAUCAGCAGGGAAAAAAAUGACGGUACCUGAGUAAGAAGCCCCGGCUAACUACGUGCCAGCAGCCGCGGUAAUACGUAGGGGGCAAGCGUUAUCCGGAUUUACUGGGUGUAAAGGGAGCGUAGACAGCGAUGCAAGUCUGAAGUGAAAGCCCGGG